UUAGGUUAUGAGAUGGGUAGAGAAGUUCGCCCGUUGAGCCGAGCUCUGAUAGUACCCUAAUGUUUAGGCAGAAGGGAUAAUGCAGCCAAGCGAACUUCCAAGAAAAGCCACUAAGCUUCAGCUAUACGGAGCCCGUACCGGAAACCGACACAGGUGUCCGAGGAGAAUAUCCUAAGGUGCUCGAGUGAUUCACGGCUAAGGAACUCGGCAAAUUGAUCUCGUAACUUCGGGAGAAGAGAUACCUACCCAGAGAUGGGAGGUCGCAGAGAAUAGGUCCAGGCAACUGUUUAACAAAAACACAGGGCACUGCUAAAUCGUGAGAUUAGGUAUAGUGCCUGACACCUGCCCGGUGCUGGAAGGUUAAGGGAGGGGGUCAGCCGCAAGGUGAAGCUCUUGACUGAAGCCCCAGUAAACGGCGGCCGUAACAAUAACGGUCCUAAGGUAGCGAAAUUCCUUGUCGGGUAAGUUCCGACCUGCACGAAUGGUGUAAUGAUCUGGACACUGUCUCGGCCGUGAGCUCGGUGAAAUUGUAGUAUCGGUGAAGAUGCCGAUUACCCGCAACGGGACGGAAAGACCCCGUGAACCUUCACUACAACUUAGCACUGUAUCUGGGUAAAUGAUGUGUAGGAUAGGUGGGAGGCUAUGAAGCUGUCACGCUAGUGAUGGUGGAGCCGACGUUGAAAUACCACCCUUUAUUUACUUAGAUACUAACUGGUCUAUAUGACUAGGACCCUGUUUGGUGGGUAGUUUGACUGGGGUGGUCGCCUCCUAAAGAGUAACGGAGGCUUCCAAAGGUACCCUCAGCAUGGACGGUAAUCAUGCGAAGAGCGUAUUAGUAUAAGGGUGCUUGACUGCGAGACCGACAAGUCGAGCAGGUAGGAAACUAGGGUAAAGUGAUCCGGUGGUUCUGUAUGGAAGGGCCAUCGCUCAAAGGAUAAAAGGUACUCCGGGAUAACAGGCUGAUCUCCCCCAAGAGCUCAUAUCGACGGGGAGGUUUGGCACCUCGAUGUCGGCUCGUCACAUCCUGGGGCUGGAGAAGGUCCCAAGGGUUGGGCUGUUCGCCCAUUAAAGUGGCACGCGAGCUGGGUUCAGAACGUCGCAAGACAGUUCGGUCCCUAUCUGUUGUGGGCGCAAGAGACUUGAGAGGUAUUAACAUUAGUACGAGAGGACCGUGUUGGACGAACCUCUGGUGUACCGGUUGUGGCGCCAGCUGCACCGCCGGGUAGCUAUGUUCGGCAUGGAUAAGCACUGAAAGCAUCUAAGUGCGAAGCCACCCUCAAGAUGAGGUCUCUGAUGAAGGGUCGUUGGAGAUUACGACGUUGAUAGGUUGCAGGUGUAAAGGUAGAGAUAUCAAAGCCGAGCAAUACUAAUAACCCGCGAGCUUGU
rnacentral:rRNA from 1 species